GACGAACGCUGGCGGCGUGCUUAACACAUGCAAGUCGAACGGAAAGGCCCUGCUUGCAGGGUACUCGAGUGGCGAACGGGUGGGUAACAAGCGGGUGAUCUGCCCUGCACUUCGGCAUAAGCCUCUGAAACUGGGUCUAGUACCGGACAGGAGCCAUAUUUAGUGUGAUGGUUGGAAAGUUUUUGCGGUGUAGGAUGAGCUCGCGGGCUAUCAGCUUGUUGGUGGGGCAAUGGCCUACCAAGGCGGCGACGGGUAGCCGGACUGCGGGGGUGGACGGCGACACUGGGACUUAGAGAAGGCCCAGACUCCUACGGGAGGCAGCAGUGGGGAAUAUUGCACAAUGGGCGCAAGCCUGAUGCAGCGAGGCCGCGUGGGGGAUGACGGCCUUAGGGUUGUAAAAUACUUUCGCAAGGGACGAAGCUUUUUGUGACGGUACCUAGAUAGGAAGCACCGGCUAACUACGUG
rnacentral:rRNA from 1 species